rnacentral:lncRNA from 1 species
GGGUUCGCUAAGUACCCUAAGUCUUAGUGGUUGAAGUCUUGUGGUGCGGUAUCCACGAGCAAAGUGAAGUCUUGUGGUGCGGUAUCCUCGAGCAAGUUGAAGUCUUGUAGAGUGUACAUCUACGAGCAAUUGUAACGGUUUGUUAGGCACCCGUAAACAUAACGGAGUUAGUGGAAUCUCGAGAGAGUCUCUCGGAGAUUGGACUAGCCACAAGUUGUGGUGAACCAG